UUCAAAGGUUUUCACCUGGCUGGGGUUCUGGAACAAAGGUGCAAUGGCUGACUGGUUUUGCGCUGUUCCUUAGAUCUAUCUCUAGCUUUGAGCAACUCAUAUUGGUACCCAGUUUGAAAAGGAGCAGAAAUACAGAGAAAUAUGAGGAUCGGUGUUCAUCCAGUCAGAGCUUAAUUUAGGUUUCUAAAAGAAAUGAAGCAAGGGAGAUGGCUGAUUCGAAUCACUGUCCAUUUCUGCACAAUGGAAGAGAAGUAAUUUACCAUAGAAGACAAAUUGGAAUUAAAGUUAUGUACUGUUCUCAUCUCUCAA